rnacentral:rRNA from 1 species
CUUGCUCCUCUGACGUUAGCGGCGGACGGGUGAGUAACACGUGGAUAACCUACCUAUAAGACUGGGAUAACUUCGGGAAACCGGAGCUAAUACCGGAUAAUAUAUUGAACCGCAUGGUUCAAUAGUGAAAGACGGUUUUGCUGUCACUUAUAGAUGGAUCCGCGCCGCAUUAGCUAGUUGGUAAGGUAACGGCUUACCAAGGCGACGAUGCGUAGCCGACCUGAGAGGGUGAUCGGCCACACUGGAACUGAGACACGGUCCAGACUCCUACGGGAGGCAGCAGUAGGGAAUCUUCCGCAAUGGGCGAAAGCCUGACGGAGCAACGCCGCGUGAGUGAUGAAGGUCUUCGGAUCGUAAAACUCUGUUAUUAGGGAAGAACAAAUGUGUAAGUAACUAUGCACGUCUUGACGGCACCUAAUCAGAAAGCCACGGCUAACUACGUGCCAGCAGCCGCGGUAAUACGUAGGUGGCAAGCGUUAUCCGGAAUUAUUGGGCGUAAAGCGCGCGUAGGCGGUUUUUUAAGUCUGAUGUGAAAGCCCACGGCUCAACCGUGGAGGGUCAUUGGAAACUGGAAAACUUGAGUGCAGAAGAGGAAAGUGGAAUCCCAUGUGUAGCGGUGAAAUGCGCAGAGAUAUGGAGGAACACCAGUGGCGAAGGCGACUUUCUGGUCUGUAACUGACGCUGAUGUGCGAAAGCGUGGGGAUCAAACAGGAUUAGAUACCCUGGUAGUCCACGCCGUAAACGAUGAGUGCUAAGUGUUAGGGGGUUUCCGCCCCUUAGUGCUGCAGCUAACGCAUUA